rnacentral:misc_RNA from 1 species
AAAAUCUCAAAGAGAUGGUCAUUGUUUACAGUGCCGUUUCUUUCGGAUGUGAGCCGCUUUGUCAUCUGGCAAUGGCUUGAAAAUGAUUGUGUUUGCACCAGCCACAUGGCUCGGUUCUUAACAAGUGCAACAGAUGUUAACUCAUUCGUUUUCUCUUGGAGGGGAUCGUGCUCAAGCAACUGGUCGUUCACUCAAAACCAACACUUUCACUGGUCUUUGGAUCAUUGACUGAUA